rnacentral:rRNA from 1 species
GAUGAACGCUGACAGAAUGCUUAACACAUCAGCAAUUGAUUGGUGGCGGACGGGUGAGUAACGCGUAAAGAACUUGCCUCACAGGUAGGGACAACAUUUGGAAACGAAUGCUAAUACCUACUAAUGUGAGAGAGAUUUGCGUCCCAUUAGAUAGUUGUCGAGGUAACGACUCACCAAGGCGAUGAUGGGUAGCCGGCCUGAGAGGUUGAUCGGCCAAAAGGGGACGGAGACACGGCCCUUACUCAUACGGGAGACAGCAGUGGGGAAUAUUGGACAAUGGACCAAAGUCUGAUACAGCAAUUCUGUGUGCACGAUGAAGUUUUCGGAAUGUAAAGUGCUUUCAGUGGGGAAGCGGUACCAACAGAAGAAGUGACGGCUAAAUACGUGCCAGCCGCCGCGGUAAUAC